GUAGGUGGCAAGCGUUGUCCGGGAAUUAUUGGGGCGUAAAGCGCGCGCAGGCGGUUCUUUAAGUCUGAUGUGAAAGCCCACGGGCUCAACCGUGGAGGGUCAUUGGAAACUGGAGAACUUGAGUACAGAAGAGGAAAGCGGAAUUCCACGUGUAGCGGUGAAAUGCGUAGAGAUGUGGAGGAACACCAGUGGCGAAGGCGGCUUUCUGGUCUGUAACUGACGCUGAGGCGCGAAAGCAUGGGGAGCAAACAGGAUUAGAUACCCUGGUAGUCCACGCCGUAAACGAUGAGUGCUAAGUGUUAGGGGGUUUCCGCCCCUUAGUGCUGCAGCUAACGCAUUAAGCACUCCGCCUGGGGAGUACGGCCGCAAAGGCUGA
rnacentral:rRNA from 1 species